AGCAUGACAGUUAUUUUGAAACAUGGUGUGAAUAUUGUGUGACACCCUUGAAUGGCAUAAUUACUCUGAUUGUUAUACGUUUAUUAUUUUUAAUUAAAUAUUUGGGGUAUUUUAGAAGGGUGUUACAGUCGGAACAACUCAGAAGGAAUAACUGGAGAUAUUUGUAUGAGUACGCUUGUUAUGUUUGUGAAUUGAAUGUUCAUUUUAUAGAUUGAUUUUUAAAAAUAUUUAGGCAGCCAAAUAUUUAUUUAAAUAUUAAUAUGUACAAUUUUCAUUUUUCACUUAUAAAAAUAAACUAGUAGUAUUGAUAAAGAUAUAAUAAUAAAUGUAUAACAUGAUGAUUUAUAUUAUUUCUUUUUUAUCAUCUUGUCUCGAAUUGGAAUCAAAAUUAUAUUUAGUGUUGAACUUUUGAUGUUAUGUUAUGCUGCAAGUAUUCAGUGCAACAGAACAUAUGAGUGAAAUUAUAAGAUUAGUACUCUAAUGCCCAUAUCAAUUAACGAUUUUAAAAAGGAGUAGCAUGGAAUAUGAAAAAUAUGUGUGUGCAUUUACUCUUGAGUCAUUCAUAUAUAUAUAUAUAUAUAUGUGUGUGUGUGUGUGUGUGUGUGUGUGUGCGUGUGUGUGUGUGUGUGUGUGUGUGUGUGCACGCGCGUGUGUCAAAUAGCUAUUUAGCUAUUGGCCUUUAUUUGAAAUAAAAUGUGAACCUUCUUUAUUUGGUUUUUUGACCGGUCUAAAACAAUUAUCCUCUAGACUUGUCGUGAAGUGUUGAACGAUGAUUUUUUUGAAUUUGUGUUGGCCGCAAAACUGUGGGCUCACCGUCAAUAGUCAUGGGGAACUUUGGAUCCGUCCGCGAAGGGCGUGAUAGACAUAUGCAUUAAAUGUUAGUCUUGUUAUCUUGUCGCUUUGUAUGACUAGAUAAAUGUGGCUUCCCAUUUCGUAGGCUAGGAAAUCCGAGUGCACUCAAGGGCCUUUAUAUUUCCAAUGCACAAAUCUGAAUAUUACUUUCCAUCUACCCACCAUCAUGCAACUUAGAUCAUCAAUUUGUUUGGUCGCUCUCCUAUAUAAGGGUAGUUCAGUUUUCAAAAUAACUUUUUGUUCUCAAUACCUCUCGAGAACUUGAUGUUAUCUUGUAACCUCGUUUCUUUUGCGAACGUCGACGAACUUUUGUCUUCUCGUCUCCUUACUGAUUUAGGGCUUGUAGCUUUGAGCCACUGUGUCCUUUUGAGUUUCUUUGUCUUUUUCUUCUGGUGUCUUUCCUCUCUUUAUAAUGGCCAACCUAGAGAAUGGUCAUGCAAAUGCGUUGAAUGACUCUGAUGGUGAAUAUUCUUUGUCAUCGUCUAAGGUUGACCACCUAGACCUUUUAGAUAUUUUUUUAGGGCAAACCUUUAGGUGUUGAUCCUUCUGUUCAUAACUCAAAUGUAAUCAGUAAUAUCCACAGGUCUUGUUUGGAUUCUUCGGAGGAUGAAAGUGAUCCUAACGCAAAGGAGGUUGUUACUCACAUUAUCUCCCUUUCUCGAGCUUUAUAUAAAUUUAGGUGUUGCUUCUUCAUUACCCGCAUUUAUUGUGAAUUAGCAUAAUUUCUUUGUUUUGUCGUUACCCGUCCAAUUUGUUGGGAACUAGUGUCAUUUCUUCAUUUUUUCAUUACCUAUCCCAUUUGCUGGGAACUGGCAUAAUAUAUUUGUUUUGUCAUUAUUCGUCACAUUAGUUGGGAACUAGCAUAAUAUCUUUGCAUCACGUGGAUUGUUCCCGGUCAAGAGUUCAGUCCCCUCCCAUUCCCUCAGGUUUGAGCCUUGUUAGAGGUUGAUGUCUCCUAGACUCCACGGUCUUGUCUCUAAGAGUGACUAGCUCAUAAGAGAGGGUGCGUCAGCUGCGGCAUAAUGCACUUUGUUUUUCUUGUUUCCUAUUUUCAUCGCAAAAGGAAUUCCGCACAAUUCAUAACCAAAAAGCGCAUAUGCAUAUAUAUAUAUACUGAGGAACAUGGCAUAAUAUAUUUAGUUUCAUUAUUUCGUACAUUUAGUUGGGAACUAGCAUAAUAUCUCUUAGACAAAUCAGAUGUCUAAGCAUUGUCUCGUCCCUCCAAGAGGUGUCAAGAGUUCAUCCCCACUCCAUCCCUCGAGGUUAGCGGACGAGGUGAUAGUGCUCCUAGACUCCAGUCUUGUCUCUAAGAGUGACUAGCUCAUAAGAGAGGGUGCGUCAGUGCGGCAUAAUGCACUUUGGUUUUUUUCUAUUUUCAUCGCAAAAGGAAUUCCGCACAAUUCAUAACCAAAAAGCGCAUAUGCAUAUAUAUAUAUAAUAUUAUAUAUAUAUAAUAUAUAUAUAUAAUAUAUAUAUAUAUAUAUAUAUAUAUAUAUAUAUAUAUAUAUAUAUAUAUAUAUAUAUUAAUAUAUAUACUAUAUAAUAAUGUNNNNNNNNNNNNNNNNNNNNNNNNNNNNNNNNNNNNNNNNNNNNNNNNNNNNNNNNNNNNNNNNNNNNNNNNNNNNNNNNNNNNNNNNNNNNNNNNNNNNNNNNNNNNNNNNNNNNNNNNNNNNNNNNNNNNNNNNNNNNNNNNNNNNNNNNNNNNNNNNNNNNNNNNNNNNNNNNNNNNNNNNNNNNNNNNNNNNNNNNNNNNNNNNNNNNNNNNNNNNNNNNNNNNNNNNNNNNNNNNNNNNNNNNNNNNNNNNNNNNNNNNNNNNNNNNNNNNNNNNNNNNNNNNNNNNNNNNNNNNNNNNNNNNNNNNNNNNNNNNNNNAUAUAUAUAUAUAUAUAUAUAUAUAUAUAUAUAUAUAUAUAUGCGCCAAAAACAUUACACAAUUUAUAACUAAAUUAUUCACACUUAGUGUUGUACAUAAAGAUUUCAACUAAAGUACUACUUGAGCUUUGUUCCAGGUUCUUGGAAUCGGUUCUCCCAUCAAGGUAUCCAAGGUGCAUGCUUCUCUCCCAGUGGUAUCUUGGAAUGUAUACGACCUUUCCCUAUUUACUACAAGCUUCUUAUCUUUAGCGUUCUUCCUUCCUAUGUUGACUCGCCUUAAUACGAGUUCUCCUACUUGAAAUAUCUAGGUCGAACACACUUUUUUUAUCGUGUUGUGGUAGCUUGUUUAAUGAUGGCACUCACGAAGGAGGUAAAAUCCCUCUUCCCUUCGAGGAAGUCGAUUUCUUAUCUAAUUGCUUUGACAUCAUUGUCUCCCUUGGAGAAAGGGUGUGUCAUUCUCCAACUUAAUUCUUCAAUUUCUAUUGGAAUAACGACCUCAACCUUGUAUGUCAAUGAAAAUGGGGUUUCGUCGAUUGUUGAAUGAGGAUUUCUUAGAUAUGUCCAAAGGAACACUACUAUAAAAAAUACAUUUGACCUUAGACGCGAAGUUUAUUCAAGCUCGGUUAUAGAGGCGGGGUAACGAAGGGCGUCGUGUAAAGUUGUCACUUUACCCCUCAAUUUUAGAAUAACUUAGGGGAUAGUUGAAAUGGUCAUUGAUUUUAUCCUCAUCAAUAUCUUUUUUAUAUUUCCAAAACUAGCGUCAUAUACCUCUCGGUUUAUGAGCAUAACCGAGAUGAAAGAUACUUUAUUUUUAAAAAAAAAUACUCAUUACAUUGUUUACACAAAAUAUUAAUAAAUUAAUUUGUUUACAAACUAAAUUGUAUACACAUAAUUUAAAGUAAAAAUGUUGAAUUCAAUUCAUCGUCAUCACAUCGGUGAAGAAUAAAUGUCGGAUAUCUUAGGGAAGAGCAAAUGUUGGGGAUCCUCAUUUUAUUGAUCUUGAGGAAGAUCAAAUGUCUAAUCUAAAACAAAAAAUGUUAGAUAAAUAAAAUAAAUAUUUAGUUAUAUGAUUAUUUAAGAACACAAACCUUGAACCCAAAUAAUUUUCUACUCUUGCAGUCCAUCAUAGAGAAAUUUCCCAAAUAAAAUAAACGCUUUUUUUAAGUUUCAAAGUUUUCACGUCAUAUGUUUCAUUAUCAAUUUUUAAUAUUCAACAUGAUUUUAUAAUGAGGGUUUUAGGUUUCACACGGAUCAGUAAUGACAUUGUGUUAAGCGUUGAUACUCAUUAAAUGGACAACAACGAUUUGUUUAAGGACAGUGAAAAAACUCAAUAAACACGCCUAUAUUUUAACUCGGUUAUUACUUAAACCCGGGGUAAAAUGUGUUUCUUUUUAAAUAAAAAAUACAAUAAAAUAUGUUACAUCCCAAGCGCCACAUAACUCUCGGUUUAUGUGAAAAAAGACGACGGGAAAAAGUGUUUUUUAAAAUUAGAUUGUUUACACAUAAUAUUAAUAUAAAUUGUUUAAACAAAUCCAGAUUUUAACAAUGGAAACAACAAAUACUUUCAAAUUUUAAUAAGUUAUAUGUACCUACCAAGAAAAUAUUUUUUUCUACACUUGCAAUCCAUCCCAUAGAGAUUUCAUUAUCUUGAGUAAAUGUUUUCAUGGCAAAUAAUUUCACAUGAAAGCGAACAAGAUAAUUGUGCUUGCAAUUUAUACAAUGUUUAGGAAUAAAUCUCUCAAUGUUGUCAACUGAGGAAAACAAUAAAUUAAGAAAUGUUUUCUUUAAUUGACAACAUAGGAAGUUUAUUCCAAAAAUACAACAAUAAUAUCAACACAAUUAUGUUUGGAUGGAUUGCAAGAGCAGAAAAAUAUUUUGUUCAAAAUAGAAGAACAUUGAAGAUUUUUUAUAUCUUGUAAUUCAUCCCAAAGUAUGAUGCAUACAAGUUUGGAGCGGCUACAUAUAAGCUAAGUUUAUGGUAAAAUAUGAUUAAAGGGUAUUUUUUAUAGUAAAAUUUGAUAAUCUAAUCCCUCGGUUUCUAAAUAUAACCGAAGGAAUAUAUCAUUAAUUUAAAAAUAAAAAAUAAAAUAAAAAGAAAGACACCACUUUUAAAUAAAUAAAAAGUAUAAAUUGAUGUUGUUGAGAUUCGAAGCAUGUCCUGAAUUAUUUUUCCCCUCGAUUAUAUUUAGAAACCGAGGGAUGUGUGGUAUUUAUUUAAAAAAUAAAUGAAACAUUGCGCGCAUUGGCUUAUACCUCAGUUUUUUAUUGGGUGAGGUGAAAGUUUUGUCAUGAAAUGUAUUAUUUGUAGUACUAAAAGUAGAGGAGUUCAUCUUUCCAAAUACCUUUAGCGGUUUGCAGCCUUUUUUCAACCCUCUCAACAUCAUUCGAUUUGUAACUUAUGUUUACCCUAUUUUUAAGGGUGUUUUAUUGUCGUGAAAUGUUGUCUUACCUUAAAUUCCUUCAACAAGGGCUUCAGGUUUCUUUCCGUGAACUGGGUUUCAUUAUCUAUAACGAUGGCUUAAGCGAUUUAGAACCUAGCUAGCAUAUUUCUCUUAAAAACUUUAAUACAUUUGCGGUUAUGAUCUUAGUCAAAGCUUCAAAUUCUACUCAUUUGGUAAUGUAAUAGACCACUAAGAUUAGAUACUUUAGUUGGCUUGGUGCUUAGGGAAAGGGGCUAAGGAUGUCCAUACCCUGUAGAGAGAAUGACCAUGGAGAUGUCAACGCGUGUAACUCUGACCGAGGUACACCACACACCACAACCACACACCACACACACACACACACACACACACACAUAUAUAUAUAUAUAAUAUAUAUAUAUAUUAUAUAUAUAUAUAUAUAUAUAUUAUAUAUAUAUAUAUAUAUAUAUAUAUAUAUAUAUAUAUAUAUUAUAUAUAUAUAUAUAUAUAAUAUAUAUAUUAUAUAUAUAUAUAUAUAUAUAUAUAUAUAUAUAUAUAUAUAUAUAUAUAUAUAUAUAUAAUAUAUAUAUAUAUAUAUAUAUAUAUAUGGAUUGUUUAGAUGCCUUAAUAGGUAUAUCAUAUUGUAUGGUAUUUAGGGCUUGCCCUCAGCGAUGAGAAGCCAUGUACGAUGUAUUUUGUGGUGGUAUUAAGGACUUGUUCACGUGAGGUAAGAAGCCUUGUAUAUGUGUUGGUUGCUUGUGUAUAAGCGUGUGGUAGAUUUGUAUGGCUUAAGAUAUGUCCCCUUUCUCCCCUUGAGGGAGAGAUAUUUAUAAAGACCUUUUAAGCCUAGGGUUAGGGAACACUAAGGGACGACAACAACUCCCUCAUGACUAGGGGAAGCUAUUGACCACAUAUUCUUCCAAUAAUCGCAGGGGACUCUCUCUCCUAUGACCAACGACAUUAUACAUAUCAUUAGUUCUAAAGGAGAUCCCCAAUGUUCUGUGAGGAUAUCUCCAAGGUGACACCACCCUUAGGCGAAGAUGAGGAUACCACCUUUAUUUAAGACUCUCACAAAUAUAACCAUACAUAAUCCUUCAAGCACGAGGACUUUGAUAAGGGCGAAGUAUUUUCAAGGUCUCUUUCAUUUGCGAGGUACGUCUUUCAUCCUGGGGCCAGUCCUUCAGCUAGGGCGAAUCCUUUGGCUAAAUGAGAAUUUUUAAUAAGAGACGAGUCUCACAUCUUUGGGUGAGUCUCUCAUCUAAAUGUGAUAUUAUUUAAAGAGAGGUGGGUCCCUCAUUUUUGGGUGAGUCCAUCAACUGAAGGUAACCUUAUUUUAUUAGAGGCGAGUCUCUCAGCUUUGGGUGAGUCCCUUUGUUGAAGGCAACCUUAUUUAAUGAGAGGUGAGUCCUUCAGCUUUAUGCAAGUAUUUCUCUCUAGACAAAUAUCCCUUAGAUAACUAAGCGGUUGAAACAUAUCUCAAAUUUAUUAUGAUUGGCUUCUAAAAUGUCAAAACUUUUAUCAUUUGUAAAAGCUUAAGUGUUUUAGUGGAAAAAGGGUAUAAGCAGUAUUUAAUGCAACUCAUAAUGGCAUUCUUUGAGAAAAUCAAUAUGGCAUUUUUCACUUACACACAUCUUCCAGGUGUAAAGACUUUUUGUUUCUCAUGGUAGUUAUCCCAUUUGGUGGAUGUAUGGUCUAUGCUAUUGGGUUUAUGAUAUAUUGUUUUUGAGAAAAACCCUUUCCUUCUUCCUUCUACAUUAUUUUCUUCUUUAUUGAAAAAUAUACCUACUAAGGGUGACAUUAGAAAAAUUGGAGAAUUUCCUCUUCUCAUCUGAGCAGAGAACGUUGUAUAAUCUAAAAUAAUAAUAAUGGCUAAGAAAACCAAACUCAUUAAUUUCUAAGAUAUUGCAUCCUUGUACUAUAAUACUAACAUGAUCAAGAGGUUUCAUGGUGGCAUUAGGUUCUAUAAUACAAGAUGCGAAAAGGAUGUGGUAUUUGAACCUUGUUCAGGGAUAGAGAAGGCCAACAUGGGUACCUCUGGGAGCCAUCAGCUCCUUAUUUUUAUCUUUAUCUUAUGGUAAUUUGUUAGUUAUAGGUCUUAAUCCCUUUUACUUCCUGUAAGGUAAAUUUCUUGGUGACCAUAAACAUUGCUCCUUCCCAGAUUACUCCGAACGUAUGAAGCAUGUCUUAGGGAUUUUCAGAUAUUCUAUUUGUAGCCUGGGUGUAUCCCAUGUUUCGAGGGUGUUCCUUUCUUUCUAUGGUGUAUAAGUUCUUUCUAACAACGACCAGGUAACAUUGUGCUCUUUAUUAGGCAGGUUUUUUGUUGAAGCCUUUCACGGGACCUUAUGAGGAUUUGAAAGAUAGGUUUGUGCGAGUGAUAGGGAGAGAUGAUGCCUCUCUGGUGACUAAGCGGGCGCGGGGCUCCAUUCUCUUUCCUUUAUCAUGGAAGCCAAAUCCCCGGAUUAUCCAAGGGGUAGACCCAAGCUCUCUUUCUCUCCUUUAUCAAUAAGUAAAGACUUUGAAAGGUUUUUGGACUCUGGAUACUCUCACCCUUAUUAAUCAGGACCGUGAAGAUGGAAACAUGGUAGAGGAGUAUUUAGGUAUGUAUUAUGUUACGAAAUAAUACAUUUUUUUCUUGUGCUCAUCAUUUUGUAUGUGCUAAUGGAGGUUCCUUCUCUGCAGGGGAUGUGACAGAGAUUUGUCUUAACGAGAGAAGUGAACAUCUGGUUAAGAUACAAAUCACACAACAGUGGCCAUGCGUCAUAACGUAACUAUUGGAGGAGGAGCGAGGCAAUGUGAAACCUCAUGAGCUAGCAAGGCUCUUCCUCCCAAGAUUCCACAGCGGGAGGAUGACGCCUCUAGGGCGCCAGGUAGUUGUGAGAUAGUAGAACGAAAGGAGAAAGCAGGGGAUGAAUGUGUUCCUCUUGAACCCUCUUUCUGUUCCUUUAACACAAUGGAGUUUUCUUACCGUCAACUUUCCUUUUCGGAGAAUUUUUCAAAUGGAUAUCAAUCACUCCUUGGCAUGUUCUCCACUAGCCUAUCUGACUCACUGGAAGUCCAACUAUUUAGAUGUCUUAUAGUGAGGAAAGCUCAGAGGGAGAAACAUUCUCACACUAUCCAAGGAUUGUAGUCUGAGGUGAAUCAUGCAAACAGGUUGCUCAUGAAGGAGGAAGGGCGGUAAGGUUGUAGGGAGAAAACAAGAUGUUGUGAAAGCACUUACCCAGAAAAUGGCCGCUGAAGCUCUUGCCCGGUUUGAAGAGGUGGGGUGUUUGGAGAAAUCUCUCAAGAGGUUCCAGAGCACCCUUAAGAGAUUGAAGGGUAAAGUAUCGCAACUCAAGGAUGAAGUUAUGGCAGUCUUCAUCCAUCAUUUUGAGAGGGCAAGAAGGCAUGUCUCCCUUCUUUAUCCUGCCAGAUGGAUCCCUUUCAUCUUUUGGUGAAAAGUUUGGUGAUAAUGCAUGCCGUUGAGAGUCAUGCAUCAUGGUGUAUGAACUUCAGUCCAUUUUUAGUAUGCUCUAGUCCGGUGGUAUGGGUCGGGAACAAGUAGCUAAUUCGAAUAAGGAAUUAGUGAAGUGUUACCUAUGGUGAUGGUAACAAAUUUUUUUGUGUUCUGGUCCUAUGGUGGGGAUUAGGAGCUAGUAACCGGUUCCAGGUGGGAGAUGGUGAAGUGUUACAUAUGGUGAUGAUAAUGAUUUAGUAUGCUCCUGGUUCUAUGAUGGGGAUCGGGAGCAAGGUGAACAUGAGCGCUCAUGAAUGGCACCAUAUGCAUAUGCGUCGAGUUGGAUAGUUGAGUCGCAUUGCAUAAAUGAGUUGGAUGCAUAAUUAUGAUUGUGUAUGGUGUUGUUUUAGGUGUGAGAAUACUGUUAUAAAGUGGUGUGGUGUGUUUGUGCUUAAAUGUGUAGAUGUUUGUAAUUCUACCUUGCAGUUUAUUUCGUUUACAUUAUUGAUGUGAAUUCUCGCCCCCUUUGCUUUUAUGUUGUUCAUCAUGGACAUCUUGCAGAUAAUCAAGAUUAGGCGUUGUUGCUAUGAGUGGAAGAUUAGCUCAUUGGAGUUUAUUUCCACUUAUUUUUUGUUCUUUACCUUAGUAGGUUAAGCUCUGAUUAUGUAAAAUUGGGAAUGGGAACACUUGUUUUAAUUAUUAUGGAGACUUUUGUUAUGAUCUUGAGAAGUUAAUGAUUUCGUUUUAUUUGGAGAACAAACAUAUUAUUUGAAGAGUAUUCUUAUAAUUAUUUCUGUUGCUAUUUGAAUAAUUAUUUAAAUGGUUUGUUGAGGUAGCACUUUAAUUGCGGUAUGAUUCUUUUAUAUAAGUAUCGGGGUUAAGGUUUUAUAAGCAACGCCCCAACUAUAUCUACCUAUUUUAUUUAUGUAUGCUAAUAAUGGUAAAAACCAGAUAUGUAUAGUGUUGCAAUUAGUAUUAGAAAAUGAUAAGUUGGCAAAAAGAAAUAAAAGAUACAUUCUAGUUUUCCAAAGUUUUACUUUGUUGGUGGAAUCUUCGUCUAAUUUCAAAGCAUUGUAAUGGUCCUUUAGCCAUUUCAUUUUAAUGCCUUGCCCUUUUUCUACCACUUUCCUCCAAUGGGAUCCCCAAUAGUUCUAGAGUCAUCUCAUAUGCUAUAUUUGUGCGCCCAAUUACUGCCAAACCAUUUACAUGUAAAUCUAACAACAUGUGUACAUCCUCCAUAGUGACUGUGCAUUCACUGGUUGGAAGAUGAAACAUGUGAGUUUCCGGUUUCCAUCUUUUGCGUAAGGCGAGAAUAAAUUUUCUACCAACGUCGUAUAAAGUUAUAUUGAUAACGUGACCAAAGCCUGCUUGUAUCAAAUAUGGACGGAUCAUCUCGUCGACUUCGAUGUAUGAAUGUGAACGUGUUCUUAAAUUUCUUUCAUUCUAAAAAGAAAAAUAGUGAAAUUAUGGUCAACAUUUAUAAAACACAUACAUUAGAAGAAAUCAAACUAUAAAAAAAAUUAACAAAGACAUAUUAGAAGCAAUACUUAAACACUUACAUAUGAAGAAAUAUUUGUUAGUGUCCCUCAACGGUCUUCUCCAUAAGUUAACAGAGAUAUAUUUUUAACAACUUUGCAAAUAACAAAGAUAAUGUUAUAUGAUAAGAGUAUUAGAGAUAAUUGUGUGUGUUUAUGGAGUGGUAGAAUAAGGAAUUUAUAGGAGAAAUUUUGAGGGUUGAAAAUUUUGUUGGUAGAAAAAUUUAAUGGGAUAUGAAUGAUAUUAGUGAAGAGAGAUAUGCAUGCUUCUGUAUGUGGGAAUCUCUGCAUGUAGCAUAGAUUUGUGACCAAACAUGCAUUGGGCGACAGUGCAUAAUGCCAUUGACACUCAAACCUGCAAUGGGCGGUCGCCUUGCUUUUUGACUGACAAUCGGACCUGCAAUGGGCGGUCCCCUUCUGCAGCCAAUGUAAUUUGAGUAGACAUAUGCAUAUUGACCGGACAUGCAUUAGGAAUCAGUGUAUAAAUGCUUGACACCCGGACCUACAAUGGGUGACAGUGUGUAAAUUUGAUUUUUGACCAUUUGGGCAGCAUGCAAAAUAGUAUGAAUAAAGACAAAAAUUUAUAGAAAAUUGCAUGAAGGUGAUGAGAUAAGAAACAACAAAAUCCAACACGUAUCAGGUAACCUCUUUUGACUAUCAAUGUCACACUUUCAUUGUGAAUGAGACGAUGUACCACUGUGAUGGGAAACCUAUGAGACAUUAAAAGGUCAACCUGUUAAAUGGUUGGCGUGAGUGCAGAAUGUUUCAAGCUUACCACAUUCCUUAUUCACAUGUUAUCGUUGCAUGUUCCAGUGUACGCCAAGACGCUUAUGCUCACUUGUCCAACGUUUACAAGGUCACAAACCUAUUUGGGGUUUACAACACAAGUUUUCAUGUGCCAACAUACGAGGUAUAUUAGUCUAUUUAUGAAGAAGAAAGAAUUUUCCAUAAUCCAAGCAUGCGGAGGAACAAGAAAGGUCGUCCAAUAAGUACACAUAUUAGAACAGAAAUGGACACGAUUGAUAAGUUGAAGAGAAAAUAUGGAUUGUGUCAUCUUCCUUGUCACAACCGAACUCGGUGUCCCAUUGUUGGAACUAGUAAUAGUUAAGUUUUUUUUGUUAUUGUUAAAUAUCAAUUUCAGAUUACUGCCAAUUGCUAAUUAAAUAUUUAUGUCGCCAUUAAAUGAAGUUUUUUUUAAUACAAAGUUCUUUCACAUUUAAUAACAGAUAACAAGACAAAGAACAUUUAACACUACAGAUUACCAUCUCAAAAUACAACACAAACAACAAAUAAAAACUCUUCACACCACAACAUUUCUAAGAGAUUACAACAAUCAAAAGAGUAUCAUCAGCUCCAAACAUCAUAGCCCUGACAUCACUGUCAUCUUUAACUCGCACCCACAUAUGUUGAACGUCAUUGUUAUCUUAUGCAAUAUAGAUGUACAAAACAAGUCUCUCAAUACUUCUAAUUCUUCCACCAUCAUUAAUCUCUUCGUCUAACCAACGGAUCAAGUUCCUCUCUAGUUGUUCGAAACUUUGGAUAUUCCAAAAAAGCAUCUUCAUCGGAGAUUUGACACUCGAAUAAAUAACAUGGCCGUAGCGGCGAUUCAUAUUAGAACAAAUGAAUAUCGUUAAAAAUUAGAAGAAAUUGAGAAACUGAUGUGAAAAAACUAAUCACAUCACACAUCUAUUUAUACCGGAUUCACCAUGUAGCAUCGUCAAAAUAAUGAUGGAUCCAUUUUAGAUAAAUAAAACAACCGUCUAUUGCAAUUUCUGAUCGGUACUCUAUAAUAAAAAAUAAAAAGAAUUCACCUAUUUCAGUUUCGAAUCUGUACUUAAAUAGUGAAAAUAUAAAACAACCGUCAAGUGGAGUUUCGGUAAAAAUUAAAAAUAAAAAACAAUUGCCUAUUAAAAUAAAAAAUAAUUGUCAGUUCCGAAUUUACUUUUAAAUGAUAAAAAAUAAUUACAUACAUAUUAAUAAAUUUAAAUUAUUUUAUUAUUAUUAAAAAAAUAAUUAAUAUAGAUUUAUUAUUAAUUUUAAUAUAUAUUUUUAAAUAUAUUACUUAAUAUAUUAUUUAAUAUAUAUUAAAAUAAAUAAAUAAAAUAACGUUUUUUUAACGUUGACCGUUGUUCUAUAGAACACCCAUUCGUUGAGUGGGUGUUCUAUAAUAAGAGAAUUUUUCUGAUUUGAAAAGAUGAUAGUUUGAUAUAUGUUAAUUAAAUAAAUGAUAUAUUGGCUAUCCUUUUCUAAUAAAGUGAUAUAUUUGAAAAUUUUCCCAAAAUAACAUAUUAUUGAAUUGGAAAGAAGUAGUAAUUCAUAUCAUCAACUUCACCCCACUUUAUGGUGUUUACUCUUUAGUGAUGCUGCUUGUUCAAUCAAUCAAGAUAGAUAUCUGCUUCAACUUACUCUGAUUUCCAAACAAGCAUUCAGCUCUCACAUACAUUAUCUUAUACACCUCUUCCCAAAAAACAAAACAAAAAACCCUCUACUAUGAGGAAAAUAAGAAAAAGAAAGGAAAAAUUAUAAAAAAUAUAAUAUAAAAAAAAUCUAUGUACAAAGUUAAAAAACUUAACAAGCUAACUGAUUUCUACAAGAAGAAAUCUCUUCAAAAAUUGGAAGUCUCUUUGAUCUAAGUGGACCCCAUUCAUUCAUCAACUGUUCUAUGCCUUUGAUAAACUCAUCAUCAAGAACCAAAAGAUCCAAUGUAUGUGAUGAAGGUAUCAAUGAUUUCAACUCUAUUACAAGAUCUUCAGCCCUUUUCCUAGACUUUAUAUCAUCUGAGCCUGGAAUUUCUCCUUUUAGUAUAUCAUCAACAAUCAAUUGGGCAUCUUCAUACCGAGCUUGUCUAAUGAGACAUAGGCCCAAGUUACAUGCCUUGUUACAAUCCGGGUCGAUCAUUUGGGCUUUUCGAUACACCACCUCGGCCAUAACGUAAUUCAUCUUUUGCAUGUAGGCCCAACCCAAGUUUCCCUAUUAUGCAAUGACAUUUAGGUGCGAUCAUAUCAAUAUUAAUGUCCAGAUUCCAUCAGAAUUAUGUAUAAAAGAAUCUUGAUACCAAGUACACAAUUAUAGUGUGUAAUCAAAAGUGAGGUAUAGUUAAGAUAAAAUACCAAUAAUCUUGAAGUUUCUUGUUUAAUAGAAACUUGAAACUUCUUGCCAUGAGAUCGUGCAGUUUUUGUGAGUUUUCCAUUGAAGGCUUCCCCUUGGUAGAUCAAUUUCAGCUUCCUCUUUAGCAAAUCUAUUUGCUCAUCUAUUUUCCCACUUUUCUAUCAUUCACGAGAAAUUUAAAUUAAUGUAGAGUAUAUUAAUGAAAUAAAAAGUAUAAAGAUGCUACCCAAUAUUAGUUGGGUUAAAAUGAGUAUAUACAGCUGAUGGCAACAUUUUUCCUAUAUUUAUAUAUAAAUGUAUGAUUUGUAGUACCUUGUAAAGAUCAAUGAGUACAUUAUCAAGGGAUUCUUGAGACUGUUUGGAGCAAAGGCCUCUAAAGGAAGAGAUAGCUUCAAUGGCUUCUUGGGAUCUAUCUAACUGCUUCAUCACCACAGCCAUAUCCUUUAAAGCACUAUCCACUUUAUCCCUGACAUUAAUUGCUUUCCAAAAUAAUACGAUUGCGGCUUCCGGGUCCUUUUCUACCAGCUAUAUAAUUCAUAUUAUUAAUGUUAUUAGGGUAAAAAUUAUGUCACACUCAAACCAUAUUAGGAUAUUUGAGAGGUAGUAUAGGCAAGAGACAUAGAAAUUAAAGGGAAGGAAAAAUAAGAGUAUAGAGUGUAAAUUAAAAUUCGAGAAAUCAUAUUGAAAUGUAGUUGAAUUGUGGUUGUAAUCAAGUUGCAUCACACUUAUGUCGUCAACCUUUAUAUUGAGAUGUAGUUGAACUGUGGUUGCAAUAAAGUUGAAGAAAUUUUAAAAUCUUAUAUACUUGCAACCACAAUUUAAAACCCACAAUAACAAAAUCUAAAUUUAUAUCAGAAAACAUUAACUAAUUAGUUCACACACUUGAAAAAAAAACUCAAAAUCUCGAGAUCUGCUCUAAUUCUAUUGAGUCUUAGAACUCAUCUUAUCUAAAUUUUUUGUAAGAACAAAAUAAAAUUUGAACAUAUUCAAAUUUACGUUUCGUUACAAUGCAUACAUGUUUUCUGUGAAAAAUUUGAAACCCACCCAUUUUGCCAUAGUCCAUUAUUUGAAACCCAUCGAUUUUGCCAUAGUCCAUUAUCGAAUUGAACAAACAUUUACCCCAAACUAAUUAAUUUAUAACUUAAUAUAUAUUAAUCAAGUCACUUAUAUAUGUCACUUAUAGAAAACUAUUUAUGUUUUACAUUUAUGUCACUUUCAACCAAAUUUGCCAUAGAUACAAAAAUAAUGAUAUCAAAUAUAUGUCGUAUAAAACUUAUAUCCCUAACGGUUAUAAUUCUAUUCCAAAUUUUAUAACCUUUGGUUUGAGAAAACAUUUUCCAUUUUCAUUUCUUAAAACUAAUAUUAAUUUAGAAUAAAAGAGACAAUUAUUUUGUAUUUAUCAAAAUAAUGAAAUUGACAAAAUAAUUAGUAUUUUUUAUUUCUUAAAAUGUAUUCCCUCUCUUUCUCUCUCCUAAAAUAAAAAUAAGAGUAUUUUUAUUCAAAGAAAUUUAUUUCAAAAUAAAUUUUUCUUUCCUAUUUCAAGGCAAUUAAUUAGAUUUAAUCAUUACUUAAUAAAUAUUAUAUUAAAUCGCAGUUUUAAUACCUCAAUUUUAUUUGAUUCACAAAAUUAAUCUUUUAUUUUAAAUUCAAACCGUUAUGAUCACACUAACGUUUUUUUAUAGAAAAUCUAACUAAUAUUUUUCAUAAUAAAUUUUAUACGAUGAUCUUAUUUACCUCGUUAAUUUUAAGUGUUAAAAUUUGAAUAGAGAUCAAAAUUAUUUGAAUUUAGAAUAAGAAAUCACUUACAUAAAUCAGCUAAAACUAAGAUAUAAUUACUACUUUAUGUAUUUAAUCAUUAUUUUUCUUAAUCUUAAACUCUUUAGAUUUGAGGAACAAUUUUAAAAGACUUUUUUUUUAGAGGGAGAGAUUAUCAAUUUUAGUCAACAUUUUAUCUUUUCCUACAAUGUCUCACUCCAACAAUAAAAAUUUCUCCUCAUCAUUUUCGCACAAAUUAAACAGGAUCUUAACUAAACUAAACACAGUAAAUCUAAACACCAUAAGAGAAUUUUCAUUCAUGCAUGAAGCAUCGAGGAACGAGUUAAAAAUUAAAAUCAAACACACAAAAAGUCACAAUCAGAAACCUUCAAUAGAAAUAGAUUAACUCAUAAAAACAAAAACAACAAAAAUCUAGAAUGUAAAUAACUCUAAAAAUUAAUAAACGAAAAAAUAGUAAAAUCCAAAAAAUGGAAGAAAAAAAGGGUAAGAAGUUGGAAUAGUGUACCUGAGCAUGUUUGGCUCUGACAUAAGGACUAUCACCAAAAGGAACCUUGUAAAGUACAUGAUAAACGUCUUCUUUCUUCUUCCCUGGUAAAAACAAACUCUUCUUGUUGUUGUAACUUCCUCUUUCUUCUUCCAUUUGCAGGUUUUAGAGAUAGAGAAGAAGAAAAGAAAACUCUUGUGUACACGCUUUGGAGUUUCAACUAGAGGAAUAGGAAUCGGAAUGGGAAUGGGAAAGAGAAAGAAAGAUAGAAGUAAUGAACCUGGAUGGGUUUGCGUCUUUGUUCGUUUGAAUUUGGUAGUUUAUUCUAAUGAGAUUAUCAAUGACUGUUAGACGACGGUGGAACCAACGAUUGGACACGUGUGCGGUCAUGAUUUAUUUUGGAAAAGAGCGAGAUGCUCACUGUUACUUUUAUUUAUUUAUAAAUAACAUUAUAAAAAUUUAAUUAAAAUACAAUUAUGAUAUAAAAGAAUUUUAUAAUGUGAGUUAAUUUUAGACGUUGGAUAUUAAAAUAAAUUUUAAAAAUUUAUAAAAUAAUACAAAUAGGUGAUGAUGAUGAAUCGACGGUGUAAAUCGUUUUACAUCUACGAUAUUGCAUAAUCUACUGUUACAAUUAUUGAUAAAGCCAAAACUUGUAUAUAAAACCUACUGUUACAAUUAUUGAUAAAGCCAAAACUUGUAUUUUCAAUUCAAACAUGAUUUUGUAUAUUUUUAAUAUUUUCCCUCAUUUUCUAAUAAGAUGGCAAUAUUGUUCGAUCAAUAUGUCAUUAACCCAUUAAAAAAAUCAUGAUGAACAUGAAUUGAACUGAAAUUGAAACAAUUAAAGUAUUAUAUUUUUUAAUUAAUCAAACUUUUAUAUUUAUAAAAAUAAUUUUAGAACUGGUGUGCUAAGUAAUCAGAACUGACAUUGAAAUUAAACUAAAUUGAAAUUGAAAAAUAAUAAAUACUAAAAAUAAAAUUUAAUUUUUUUAAAUUAUUUAAAAAAUAAUUUAAUGAUUCGCUUCUUUAACAAAUAAUUUGGUUUGAAAAAAAUUAUCUUCUACAAUUCGGUAUAAUUUGUUAUUUCAAAACGGUAUAUUAAAUCCAUAAUUUUAAUUCAAUUCAAUUUUUGGUAAAUUAAAACGAUUCAGUUUGAUUUGAUUUGGUUAAUUUCUUUUAUUGAACUAUAUCUCAUGAGCAGUCUAGAUGUUGAUGCACAAGAUGAUAAAGAUGAACAAUGGAAAUAAGAGAGAGAAGUGAGAAUAAUAACAAACUUUCACUACUCUAAAAUGGUUACAGCAAACACACACACACAUUACUCUGCUACACAACACAGACUGCAAAAAAGAAAUAAUAAUAUUAUUUGUUCACACCACUCACUUACUUAAAUACAAGUGAAACUUAAUAAAAAUACUAAAGUACUCUCUAACAAACUUUAUCAACAAGUUUAUGAAAAUGAAUUAAUUUUAACAUCGUCCCUUAAUUCAUAUUCAGCUUAACCAAAACUAACAACAUCAAUUUCAUCUCUCAAGCGGAGAAAUUGACCAGUCUUGAUCGCCUUCGUCAGAACAUCUGUCAGCUGCUUCUGGAUGCUAUAAUGCACAACUUCUAGCACUCCAUUCUGAAUCUGAUUUCUCAGAAAGUGAUACUUAGUCUUAAUAUGUUUGCUUCUCCCAUGUAGCACUGAGUUCUUGGAAAGAUUGAUUGCGAACUUGUUAUCAAUCAUCAGUCUCAAAGACUUGUUUACUUUGAUCUUCAGAUCCUGUAGGAAAUUCAGAAGCCACGCAGCUUGACAUGCAGUCACAACACCUGCAAUAUAUUAUGCUUCACAAGUUGACAAAGCAACAACUGGUUGCUUCUUGGAACACCAAUAAAUAAGACUUCCCAAAAACUUAAAUAAGUAUCCAAAAGUACUUCUUCUAUCAACUCUGUCUCCACACCAAUCAAAAUCUGAUUAACUCAGAAAUUUUGAGUCAGUUUCAGCACUAGAAGGAAACAAAACUCCAUACUUCAGAGUUCCCUUUAUAUACCUCAAAAUUUUGAUAAAAUCUUGGUAGUGAGACCACUUAGGUUUAUUGAUAAACCUACUCACCAUUCCAACUACAUAGCAAAUAUCAUGUCUGAUAUUACACAAAUACCUCAGAGAAUCUACCAAUUGCUUGAACAUUGUCGCAUCUGCAUCAUCACCAUUUGAAUCAUAAUUCAAUUUCUGAUUUGUAUCUGCAGGUAUGACGAUAACUUUACAAUUCAGCAGCUCAAAUUUCUUCAGAAGCUCAAGUUCAUAUUCCAGCUGAUGUAAAAUUAUUCCUUUCUCAGAGUACAUAAUCUCGAUCCCUAGAAAAUAAACCAUAUUUUCUAUAUCAGUCAUCUCAAACUCAUUCAUCAGCUCCUUCUUGAACUUAGCUAUCUUAUGUUCACAACUUUCUGUAGCAAUAUGUCAUCAACAUACAGACACACCAAAAUCAUAUUGCCUUCAGAAGUAUGUUAAACAUAGACAUCAUACUUCAUCUCACAUUUCUAAAAUCCUUGCUUCUUGAAAAAUGAAUUAAUUUUCAGAUUCCAAGCUCUAGGGAUUUUCUUCAGUCCAUACAAAGCUUUGUGUAAUCUGUACACCAUCCCUUCCUGAUCCUUUUUCUCAAAUCCAGGAGGUUGUGACACAUAAACCUCUUCUUCUAAUGUACCGUUCAGAAAUGCAGAUUUCACGUCUAAAUGCAUCAGAGGCCAAUUCCCUUUAGUAGCUAUCGCAAUCACCAACCUGAUUGUUUCAUGUCUUGCUACAGACGCAAACACUUCAAAAUAAUCUAACCCAUGUUUCUGUAGAAAACCUCUCACAACUAACCUUGCUUUGCGUUUGUCAAUUGAUCCAUCUGGAUUUAGCUUCACCUUAUAAACAUAUCUCAAGCUGAUGGCUUUCUUGUUCUUUGGAAGUUCUGUCAGGUUCCAAGUCUUGUUUCUCUCUAUGGUAUUAAGUUCUUCUUUUAUGGCCUUCAGCCAGACUUUCUGCUUGAGAGCUUCUUAUGUACUCAUGGGUUCAGAUUCUACUAACAUGGCACAUUGAAUAACUUCCCCUUUAGAAUCUACUUUAGUAUCUUGCAGCAUGUCAAACUCUACAAACCUUGUCGAAAUAUUUAUGAUUCUUUGUGGCCUCUAAACUUGUUCAAAACCUCAUGGUUCUGGAAUAGUAUCAGAUGUUGCAAACCUUCUCGAAGUGUUUAUGAUUCUUUGGACUUGUUUAAAACCUUUUGAUUCUGGAAUAAUAUCAGAUGCUGGAACUCCAGAAGUACCUUUAGAAUAUAGAAUAUUACUAAAAUCUGGACUACCAAAGGCAAUGGAUGGUGUGCGUUAGCAAAGAGCCAUUAGGCCUUGGUCUUUGGCCAAUGAGGAAGAUCAGAAAGGGAGAACCCCCAUUCUCAUGUUCUCCCCUUGCCCGUCUCUUUCUCCUCUUGCCUUCAUUUCGUUCACCAAAAAUAGCCCCGCUGCGCCGAAAGUCACCUUCAGCGGCAGGGCUGCCCAGAAACUGAACAUACCCUCCUCAAAACCUUUGUUUACUCACCCUCAACAUGAAUCCCUCACUGAAAUCAAUCAAAACCUAUCCCUAAUCCAUAAAUCUAAUUUAGACAUAAACCCUAAAAUUUAGAACUUAAAUUAAAUGGCGAUGUAGCAUGGAAUCAAGCAAUUUGCAUAUGGUUUCUACUCAGUGCAUCACAAACAGCGCCAUAGUAACAAGAAUUUGAAGAAAAGAUGAAGAAAAAUCACCGACUUUGAAUGUUCUCAGAGUGUCCAAAUCCCCAGGUUCUCUGAUUCUUCUUUUCUUUCUUAUUUACUAUUUUUUUCUACUUCAUUUUCUUUCUUCUUGCUUUUUUUGCAUACACCAUGUUUCUUCAAUCUGUUUCAAUGUGUUGUCGUUGUGUGACAUAGUGUGUUUAGGAUUAGUUUGAUCCGAAACUAGAGUUUUAGUGUAAAACUUUAACUGGUUUCUAUGGUGAACUCUGAGUGAAGGGUGAGGAUGAAGGAAGAAUUCAGUAGAGUAACUCUAGGGUAGAUAGAUGUUGCUGAUUGCGAAAAUUAGGGGUUUUUAUAGUUGGAUUUUGGAAAUUCAUAUGGAAAGUUAGUUAAGAUUAGGAUGAUAUGAGUCAUUGGAUUGUAAUCCGUGGUAAAAUGUGAAGGAUGGUUGAAAUUAGUUUGUGAACUUGUGUUUGUUAGGUGUGAGAAUAUGAGGGAUAUUCUACACUGAUUUUGGUUGAGAAAUAGAUGUGAGUGUGUUAGUUUCAAUGCAUUUCAAGUUGAAGUUUUGUGUUAGUUGGAGAGGGAUUGAACUGAAUUUUGGAAGGGAGGUGUUUGUGCCUAACUGAUUAGGGCAACUAGGUCAACUUAGGGUAGUUGGUUAGGAGCUGGUUGUUAUGAAAGUUAGAGCUUGUUUAAGGUAGUUGAAUUGGUUAAGAGUUAGUUGUGAGUUAGUUAGUAAAUUAGGAUUAGAUGAAUUUAUGGCUAUUGGAUAUGAACCCGUGACAUUGGUAAGGGUGGAGAGUCAACUUCUGAAAAUUAGUUAGCAUAUGUGUUAGUUUGAAUGCCCAAAGUUUUGUUAGUUCAAAACUGGUCUUAGAGGGAAAUUGGAAAAUGGGGUAUUUUGGCCCUUUGGCAUAGUGUCGUGUGGCAGAUUAUUACAUGGUAGUUAUAACUCAGUUUAGGGUUUGUUAGUUUAUUGAGAAUGGAUUAGAAGUUUGGAUAAAUUUGAUUUAAGUGAGGUUCAAAAUGAUUGAAUCUUAGGCUCCAACUUGAAUAUGAAUGAGCGACUUAUAUGGUGAAUAAAUUGUGUUAUUGUUUUGAAUGUGGUUCUUAUGAUAAUUGAAUUAUCUUGAAGCAUGUUGGCUAUAGGUUUUAUGUAUGAUGUUGCAUCAUAUUAUCUCUGAAUCAAUUCAUGCUUGUCCUGGAUUUGAUGUAACAUGCUUUAGGGUCAUUUGUUUUUGCAUCUAUUCAUGUUGGUGUGGAUGAUAACCCUAGUUUGUAUUUUGGUUUUGAAUGACCUGUUAUAAGUAGAUGAAACUUGAUGCUUGUGUUGCUUCAGUUGUGAGCCAUAACAUGUGUUUUAGGGUGGCUCUGAGUUGAAUCUAUUUGUGAACUGAUUGUAAAUUAGCCUUUGGAUCUGAAUUGAACUAUAUGUGCAUUGCUGAAACUGGUGUUAUAUGGACUUGUUUAUUUAUGGCAUUGCAUUAUGUUGAUGUUGUAGUCUUUUUGUAGGUUGGGCAUGAAGUUUAUGCAGCCUGGUUUAUUGGUUGGGCAUGAAUUUAGGCAUGGUCCAUGAAGCAUUUUAGAAACAUUGAAACUACUUGGACAUGAAGAUAUGUGAUGAUAAUUGAAGAAUGGAAGCAAACUGAAGCUGAAAACAGUUAGGUCUUAGGUAAAAUUGGGGUCCUGGUCAAACUUCGGUCAAUUGUUUGACAAGAAGUCAAUAGUUGACCAAAAAUCUAUUGUCGGUCAAGACUUGGAUUUUUCAAGUAUCAAUUUUGUAAUAUUUUUUUCUUGUAUUUUGGUACAUUUGAAUGUAAUGUUGACUUGCACUUCAAGAAACAAAGCUCCUUUAUAUUUUCUUUCCAUUUCUUUUGUAAUUUGAA
rnacentral:lncRNA from 1 species